rnacentral:lncRNA from 1 species
UCUCACCAAAAAGAAGGGGGAACAAAUUGGAAAAAAUUUCAGAAAAAACUCUUUCACUCUUAUCUCCACUUCAUCAACCCAAAUACUUAUCUUCCUUCUUGUUCCCACUGUUGUUUGUUCCUAUGCUCCAUUAACCCACCGUGACCACAAACUCCAUCCUUAGAUCUACCUCCAUUUCAUCUCCAUUCACCACAACCGACAUCCUCUCUCCAAACAGAAACGAAAAAAAAGACCUUCAUC